CACUCCCUCCAUUCGGAGUGACCUUAUUAUGGCAUGCUUUUUCAGUAAUGAGAAGGUAUGAAGCCCAUAAGACAAUGUAGAGAACUCUGGAAGUCUAAUUCAGACAAUCCG
rnacentral:ncRNA from 1 species